ensembl:lncRNA
GCUGUGAGGGCUCCAGAGAGGCCAAGGCAAGGGAGACUGAGGAGAAGCAAAACCAGAAAACUUCCUUUGCUGCCUUUAUGGAUGGUAAAGUGUAAAGUAGCUCAGUCAGCAAACCCACAGGAGCACCCUGAAACAAGAGAAUACAAGAAAGUUUUGCAUAGUGAUGGUCGGUUUUGACUCAAGAGCUAUAUAGAUGCUUAUAGAAGAAAAGUUAUUCCAAGGACAAAGGAAAAAGAAAACAAAAAAAGGUCAAUGACUUGAAGCAACUGGGUAGACGAACAUGAGGGACAUACUUUUGGGUAAAAUGUGUUCCACUGCGUAGUCUAACAUUUGGCCAGUUUCCAACAGGAUUAAGAAAAAGAUCAUCUUUGUUAUUGUCCUGCUGCUUCUCCUGGGUGAUGGGAAUAUUUAUUUUAGCAGCAAACUUUCUUCCAAGCAGGUUAUCAUUUAUCAGACUUCACCAAUCAGUGGAGAGUGACUCUUGGAAGAGCUAGAACUUUCAGACUGUUUUCAAACCAUUUCAUCUAAAGCCAAACAUCACUGAAAAUAAUACAUCUUUAACCCCAGUAAACGAGCCAAACUUGUGUGUGUUCAGUGCCCUUGAAAUGACUACUUGAGUGUUUAAGGACCACCCACCUGGUUGUACAACAUGGAAAGAGUGAGAAAAAGGCUAAUUGUGCACUUAAAACACCAUGUGGUGGCUAAUAUAUUUCCUUAAGGGAGCAUAGAGUGCUGCAAUUGAAAAUUAUUUCUGACUUACAAGAAUGAAAACAACUUGCCUAGGAUUCAAACAUAGUUCGCAGUAAAAAUGUGUUUGAUAGAAAUACAGCAGGAAGAAGAAAACAACUCUGUUGUUUUGCCCCCUCAAGCAAAAAAAAAAAAAAAAAUCAAUUUGCUUCUAUGCUAAUUGAGGAGAGACAUCAGCAAUCAAGCAGCACUGUUUUUAUUGUGUAUUUUUAACUGCAAGGAAAAACACAGAUAAAUAAUACAGCUUCAUUCUAUCUCAACAUAUUUUCCAUCGUGUUUACAAAAUGACUGAUGAAACCAGAUGUCACCAAACCAUAUUCUCUAAUUGUUCACAUUAUAUAAAUAUAUGUGUGUAUGUGUGUGUGCUUUUGUAGCUUUUUUCAAGUAAAAU